rnacentral:rRNA from 1 species
UACAUGGGGUGCAAACGUUGCUCGGAAUUAUUGGGCGUAAAGCGCACGUAGGUGGUCUUUUAAGUCGGAUGUGAAAGCCCUCGGCUCAACCGAGGAGGUGCACCCGAAACUGAAAGGCUUGAGUACUGAAGAGGGUCGCGGAAUUCCCGGUGUAGAGGUGAAAUGCGUAGAUAUCGGGAGGAACACCGGUGGCGAAGGCGGCGACCUGGGCAGAUACUGACACUGAGGUGCGAAAGCGUGGGGAGCAAACAGG